rnacentral:lncRNA from 1 species
GCUUCUUAACAGGAUUUGAUGCUCAUUUGCUUUCUGCUUAUAAACACAUAGGAUAUAAAUCAUCUAAAAAGAAGAAAGAUAUUCCAAAUGAUGGAUGAAAAUAACAACAUAUACCAAGUUCAAGCCUUACAUACAUACACCAAAAGUUCAUCAAUCUUGAGCAACGUCAAUGGCCAGUUCAAGCCUUACAUAUACCAAGUUCAAGGCAAUACAAUAUCAGCCAUCAAGUUGAAGCUUACAUAAUAUAAAUUCAGAGCUUAGACACUAAUUCAUGAUCAAGUUUUAACAAAAGAAACAUCCUACUCAUUGAAAUCACUCUUUUACAUUCCAGGGAACUUCUCAGCGAUGAACAUUGUGACCCAAUUUAACUUGUGCUCGAAUGGCAAGUUAUAGAAAGCUUUGCCAAUGUGAGGAUUGCUCACCAAAUGAGCAUAGUAGAAAGAUAUGUGUGCUGACGUCAGGGGGCCGCCCGCCACGGACGGCAGCCGACGGCGCCGGUCACGGGC